GCCUCGAUGGUCUAGUGGUAUGAUUCGCCCUUAGGGUUUCAGUUAAGCGCUAGUAACGCUUACGUAAUCCUCGUGGGCGAGGUCCCGUGUUCGAUCCACGGUUGAGGCC